AUCUAAUUGAGUGAUUUAGCUAAAAUUCUACUAAAUUUUGCAAACAAGAUGUCACCGUUGCCUAUGUAUUUGCAUUUGAUGACUGGGAUUGUCUGGCUUGUCUUAAAUUAAAUAGAGAGCAUGACUUCGGCACAAAAGGGGAACUGCUAGCGGAUACUUAAAUUGCGCAUUACCGCAGCUAGGUACACAGCAAAUCACUAGAGUAAGGUCACAGCUCAUAACGGGUGGAUUUGGAGAUACGAUUUCAAGUAUCAAGCGUGCUCCGGAAACCACAAAAACUUUAGGAAUAAUAUCCAAUAACCUAUGAUAAUAACAACACUUACAAUUUAUAAAAUUUUAAAAUUUUUCCUUAUAGUUUUACUACUUGCCAGCAGUAUACUAAGAAUUAGUGGAAAGCCUUUGGAAGGAGAUGCGAGUGCAACACAAUUGAUCUCAAAGUCAAACGAUGGAAAGAUGUCUGCAGAAGUAAACAAUGACACAGUUAAUCUUCAGAUAAAUAACUUUAAAGGAAGUGGAGCUUCUACGCACCGGCAGAGUAUUGAAAUUAUGACAAAACAGUUUUUUGGCAAGCCAUCUGCAACGGAAAGUGAUUCUAGUGAUUACAGUAGUGAUUACAGUAGUGAUUUAAGUUUUUUAUCCUAUAUUUGGGGUAUAAGUGAAAGCGACUCAAGUUAUUAAGUAAUGAUGGAAAAAAAUUUAAAGUUGAAUGUAUUAUUCAAAGAUUUGUAUAUCCGUUUAUUAUGAUAAUGGUUUGAUUCAAGUUAAAAUAAUUUUGUUGA